CAAGUCGAACGAUGAUCAGGAGCUUGCUCCUGUGAUUAGUGGCGAACGGGUGAGUAACACGUGAGUAACCUGCCCCUGACUCUGGGAUAAGCGUUGGAAACGACGUCUAAUACUGGAUAUGAUCACUGGCCGCAUGGUCUGGUGGUGGAAAGAUUUUUUGGUUGGGGAUGGACUCGCGGCCUAUCAGCUUGUUGGUGAGGUAAUGGCUCACCAAGGCGACGACGGGUAGCCGGCCUGAGAGGGUGACCGGCCACACUGGGACUGAGACACGGCCCAGACUCCUACGGGAGGCAGCAGUGGGGAAUAUUGCACAAUGGGCGAAAGCCUGAUGCAGCAACGCCGCGUGAGGGAUGACGGCCUUCGGGUUGUAAACCUCUUUUAGUAGGGAAGAAGCGAAAGUGACGGUACCUGCAGAAAAAGCACCGGCUAACUACGUGCCAGCAGCCGCGGUAAUACGUAGGGUGCAAGCGUUGUCCGGAAUUAUUGGGCGUAAAGAGCUCGUAGGCGGUUUGUCGCGUCUGCUGUGAAAUCCCGAGGCUCAACCUCGGGCUUGCAGUGGGUACGGGCAGACUAGAGUGCGGUAGGGGAGAUUGGAAUUCCUGGUGUAGCGGUGGAAUGCGCAGAUAUCAGGAGGAACACCGAUGGCGAAGGCAGAUCUCUGGGCCGUAACUGACGCUGAGGAGCGAAAGC
rnacentral:rRNA from 1 species